GACGGUCCUAUGGAUUGUAAACUGCUUUUAUACGAGAAGAAACACUGCUUCGUGAAGCAGCUUGACGGUAUCGUAAGAAUAAGGAUCGGCUAACUCCGUGCCAGCAGCCGCGGUAAUACGGAGGAUCCAAGCGUUAUCCGGAAUCAUUGGGUUUAAAGGGUCCGUAGGCGGUUUAAUAAGUCAGUGGUGAAAGCCCAUCGCUCAACGGUGGAACGGCCAUUGAUACUGUUAAACUUGAAUUAUUAGGAAGUAACUAGAAUAUGUAGUGUAGCGGUGAAAUGCUUAGAGAUUACAUGGAAUACCAAUUGCGAAGGCAGGUUACUACUAAUGGAUUGACGCUGAUGGACGAAAGCGUGGGUAGCGAACAGGAUUAGAUACCCUGGUAGUCCACGCCGUAAACGAUGGAUACUAGCUGUUGGAAGCAAUUUCAGUGGCUAAGCGAAAGUGAUAAGUA
rnacentral:rRNA from 1 species